rnacentral:sRNA from 1 species
GUCGUGAGAUGUUGGGUUAAGUCCCGCAACGAGCGCAACCCUUGGGACUAGUUGCCAGCGAGUCAUGUCGGGGACUCUAGUCCGACUGCCGGUGCCAAACCGGAGGAAGGUGGGGACGACGUCAAGUCAUCAUGGUCCUUACGUCCAGGGCUACACACGUGCUACAAUGGGCGGGACAGAGGGCAGCGGUGCCGAAAGGCCGAGCCAAUCCCAGAAACCCGUCCUCAGUUCGGAUUGUCGUCUGCAACUCGACGGCAUGAAGCUGGAAUCGCUAGUAAUCGCGGAUCAGCGAUGCCGCGGUGAAUACGUUCCCGGGCCUUGUACACACCGCCCGUCGCGCCAUGGAAGCUGUGAGUGCCCGAAGUCGGUGCCGCAACCCGCAAGGGGGCAAGCCGCCGAAGGCAAGCGAAGUGACUGGGGCGAAGUCGUAACAAGGUAGCCGUAGGGGAACCUGCGGCUGGAUCACCUCCUUAACGGAUUCUGAGUAGGUCGGGGAUUAUGCCGACUGAAAAAUUCCUGUAGUCGCUUCACCCGCACAUCACAACCCAAUUCGAUUUUUCUUAGUCCGACGCCACCGCCAAGAGCGAGAGCUCGAGGGCGGUGUUUGCGUCAGCGCUAUUUGACAACGGAACGAAAGGUAGAUCGUGGGAAAUGGAAGAAUCACACGAGCAAGCAAGACGCUGGUUUGCGCAAGCAAGCAGAGUUAUUGAGUGCUCACUCGUGAACGACGAAGACGAACAACACGGUCUCAGACAUUGCGUGUUUGAGACUGCGCGUGCUCUGCUUGGAUACAGGAUCGAGAAGGCGAGUGACGGAUCAGACGAUCGAUCCCGAGCGACCCAACUUUGUAGUCAAGCGAGCGAUAGCAUGUGGAGGAUGCCUGGGCACACAGAGGCGAUGAAGGCCGUGGUAAGCUGCGAUAAGCCAAGGGGAGCGGCACACACGCAUUGAUCCUUGGAUGG